rnacentral:misc_RNA from 1 species
GCGGGACAGAUUAACAAUUACUGUCAUCAAAUUGAGGAGUUUGCUUCUCAGAGUUUUGGAAAAUUGUUCAUGGCUGACAGUCUGCAGAGUAAAGCUAAAGAAAGUUAAAUUAUUCUUGUUUGUCAAUCAAAUUAUUCUUGUUUGUCAAUCAUCAAUGUAUGAUAAACUCACUUAAUGUACAAGU